rnacentral:rRNA from 1 species
CGUAGGGUGCGAGCGUUGUCCGGAAUUAUUGGGCGUAAAGGGCUCGUAGGCGGUCUGUUACGUCGGGAGUGAAAACUCGGGGCUCAACCCCGAGCCUGCUUCCGAUACGGGCAGACUAGAGGUAUGCAGGGGAGAACGGAAUUCCUGGUGUAGCGGUGAAAUGCGCAGAUAUCAGGAGGAACACCGGUGGCGAAGGCGGUUCUCUGGGCAUUACCUGACGCUGAGGAGCGAAAAGUGUGGGGAGCGAACAGGAUUAGAUACCCUGGUAGUCCACACCGUAAACGUUGGGCGCUAGGUGUGGGACUCAUUCCACGAGUUCCGUGCCGCAGCUAACGCAUUAAGCGCCCCGCCUGGGGAGUACGGCCGCAAGGCUA